AUACGUAGGGGGCGAGCGUUGUCCGGAAUGAUUGGGCGUAAAGGGCGCGUAGGCGGCCCGGUAAGUCUGGAGUGAAAGUCCUGCUUUUAAGGUGGGAAUUGCUUUGGAUACUGUCGGGCUUGAGUGCAGGAGAGGUAAGUGGAAUUCCCAGUGUAGCGGUGAAAUGCGUAGAGAUUGGGAGGAACACCAGUGGCGAAGGCGACUUACUUGACUUUAUCUGACGCUGAGGCGCGAAAGUGUGGGGAGCAAACAGGAUGAGAUACCCUGGUAUUCCACACUGUAAACUAUGAAUGAUAGGUGUAGGGGGUACCGACCCCUUCUGUGCCGCAGUUAACACAAUAAGCAUUCCGCCUGAGGAGUACGGCCGCAAGGUUGAAACUCAAAUGAAUUGCCGGGG
rnacentral:rRNA from 1 species